rnacentral:misc_RNA from 1 species
UUUCCGUAGGUGAACCUGCGGAAGGAUCAUUAUUGAAUACGUUUGGUUCUGACGCUGGCUCUUCACUGAGCAUGUGCUCGAUCCAUAACUAUUUAUCUUCUCUUGUGCACCUUUUGUAGUCUUUCAGAGCAAGUGAUAACUCUCGCAGCAAUGCGGUUUGGGGGACUUGGGCGUGAGCCCUUCCCCUGCGUUUGCUUCUUUGGAGGGCUAUGUUUUCAUAUACACUAUAAAGUUACAGAAUGUCUUUUAAAGAUUGUGCUAGUCGCAGUCAUUAAACCUAUACAACUUUCAGCAACGGAUCUCUUGGCUCUC